rfam:Triticum aestivum genome assembly, contig: Triticum_aestivum_CS42_TGACv1_scaffold_211324_3AS
CACAUACUUCCUUCGUCCGAAAAAACUUGUCAUCAAAAUAGACAAAAAGGGGUGUAUCUAGAAUUAAAAUACAUCUAGAUACAUACCAUUUUAUUUAUUUUAAUGACAAGUAUUUCCGGACGGAGGGAGUAUCUG